rnacentral:rRNA from 1 species
GGAAUAUUGGACAAUGGGCGCAAGCCUGAUCCAGCCAUGCCGCGUGAGUGAAGAAGGCCUUAGGGUUGUAAAGCUCUUUCACCCGCGACGAUGAUGACGGUAGCGGGAGAAGAAGCCCCGGCUAACUCCGUGCCAGCAGCCGCGGUAAUACGGAGGGGGCAAGCGUUGUUCGGAUUUACUGGGCGUAAAGGGCGCGUAGGCGGAUGUUCAUGUCAGAGGUGAAAGCCCCGGGCUCAACCUGGGAACUGCCUUUGAAACGGGACGUCUUGAGUUCGGGAGAGGGUAGCGGAAUUCCCAGUGUAGAGGUGAAAUUCGUAGAUAUUGGGAAGAACACCGGUGGCGAAGGCGGCUACCUGGCCCGAGACUGACGCUGAGGCGCGAAAGCGUGGGGAGCAAACAGGAUUAGAAACCCUUGUAGUCC